GACUUUUAAGUUGAUAUGAUACUAUAGCUAUCUAAGUCAGUUUAAGUGUUUUAGAGUGGAAAUCCAUUUGUAACUUUUUUUUUUUUCAUUUUACCACUCCCUUUCUUCACUGAUAGUUUUAUACUGUUAUAAAACUGAUACAUUUUAUACCAAGUGCUAAUUUUAUUCAUCGGAAUUACUCUUAUUUGAAUUACCUUACUUUUAUAUCUUCAGCUAGAGUCAUGAUAAACAGUUUUUCUUGCAUUUUUAUACACAAACUUUUAAUGCAUUAAGAAAAAUCCAAAACUUUCAAAAUUUUAAAGAUAGUAAGUAAAUAUAAUAAGUAAAAAUUAUUUCUGGAAAUCUCAGCUGGAUAGACUGACAUUCUGUUUUGUUUUCUCACUCAUGUUCUGCUUUCACCAAGGUAGGCUUUGUAGCUGACCUGUGUUGUCCAUCCAGUUUCCCGUGCACUCCCCAUGAAAAGGGUGCAGAGUAGUAGCAAUAUAGACCUCACCAACACAGCCAGCUUUGUUCCUUUCAUCAGGCUCCUGUUUGUUUAUCCCCAGGCUCAACCUUCCUUCAUUUCCCUGUAGUGCUUGCUUUCUGCAUAGUUGAUUCUAAAAACUUUAAUACUGUCUU
rnacentral:lncRNA from 1 species